AAACAAGGAGCGUUGGUAUGAGGCCCAUGCAUGUCGACUUUGUUUGAACGAAUGGAAUAAACGCAUUCCUUCAAUAUAAGCAAAGUACGUACGUACAUGUGGGGAGAGGAAGACCAAGUCGUUUGGAGUAUGCGGCUGCCUCACCCUCUGCUGCAACAUGGUCCCUGCAUCUUACCAAAGGUAGAAGAUAGAUCGAUUAUGAAGAAACCAAAGGGGCGAGAGUCAGAGAACCUCCCUAAUGUACAAUAUAAGGACCGAAGGUAUAUCACAAAAGGUCCCCAAGGUACGUCGUCUACGUCAGAGGAGUAGUAACCUUCGAGAACUCUUGAAAGUUAUCGGCAGUCAGCACGGGAAGCAUGGAAAAAGUCCAAUAUGCCGAGCAAUACUGUGGACAUCUUGUAAAUGUAGAGUCUAACGUACGGUUGUAAGUGUGGAAGUUGAUACUAUUUUUUUCAACCUUCUUCCACUAUCAUAUAUGCCUUCGUAAUACUUGUGAAAGGCUACUGUUCUCUUGAUCCUUAAAGCCAGCAUCGAGGGUCUUGGAGGAAGCUUUUGCCACUUCAACAGUUUGG
rnacentral:lncRNA from 7 species